rnacentral:tRNA from 1 species
CGGAGUGUAGCGCAGCCUGGCAGCGCACAUCGUUCGGGACGAUGGGUCACAGGUUCAAAUCCUGCCACUCCUACCA